UGCCAGCUGCCACCAAAGCAUCUCAGCUUCCAGGAUCCUGUCCUGUGCCCAGUCCUGUCCUCGGCAGCACCCCUGCCUGUCCUUCCACAGGGAAGCACAGAACCCCAAGUCCCUGGCCACCUUCUAACCUGCAACUGCCACCCUCAUCCCGUGGCCAGAUGCCGGCACCUGCGCACCUAGGAGCCACUAGAGAAGGUGACUUAGGAUCAGAAGCGCCGCACACAUGCCGAAUGAGCUAAUUAAACAAGAACACAAAUAAUGACUUCCCGUCAGGGAUACAAUUCAAGGCCUUACCCAUGUGGCCCAUGUGGCUCUGUCUGCUGAAGCCCCGCCUGGACCUCACCUCACCCCCUGCCACUUCCCCCUCAGAGGCACCAAAGUCCUUACUGCCUGUGCAACAGUGUGAGUGCAACCGUGUGAGUGCAACCUGCCCCAGGGCCUUUGCACCAGCUGCCUCCCCUGCCUGGCCUAUUCUCUCACUCCACUCAGGUCUCUACUCCAAUGUCACUCCUCAGCAGGACUAUCCCUGACCACCUGUAUAAAAUAGUAGCCCCA